UCCACUUGUUAAGCACUAUAGCCUUAGGGAAGUUAUGCCCCAGAAGACUCAGCUUCCCUGCUUUGUAAUGGGAUAAUAAGAAUGCCUCCCUUGGCCAGGCUCAAUGACUCAUGCCUGUAAUUCCAGCACUUUGGGAGGCCUAGGCAGGCAAAUCACUUGAGGUCAGGAGUUUGAGACCAGCCUGGCCAACAUGGUGAAACCCCGUCUCUACUAAAAAUACAAAAAUUUCCUGGGAUUGGUAGUGGGCACCUGUAAUCCUAACUACUCAGGAGGCUGAGGCAGGAGAAUCACUUCAACCCAGGAGGCAGAGGUUGCAGUGAGCUGAGAUCAUGCCACUGCACUCCAUCCUGGGUGACAGAGCGAGGCUCCAUCUCAAAAAGAAAAAAAAGAAAAAGAAUACCUGCCUUCUGGAGGAGUCACAAGAAUUAAAUACAUUUUUAUAUGAAUUNNNUGGAAAGCAGUUUGGUGAUUUCUUGAGGAACUUAAAACAGAAUUAUUAUUUGACCCAGCAAUCCCAUUAUUGGGUAUACAUCCAAAGGAAUAUAAAUUGUUCUACCAUAAAGACACAGGAACGUGUAUGUUUGUUGCAGCACUAUUCACAAU
rnacentral:lncRNA from 1 species